CUCACCACCGAAGCAGGCCAUCCCUCUCUCUCUCCACCAGCACCGUUCGAAGCUGCCUGCUCCCCACCAUCAUUUGUCCCUUGGUCAAUUUGUUGACCCAUCCUCACGCCUGCAGCUUCCUCUCUUUGCACGUGUUUCCUUCGAAGAGACCUGCCACCAUCCACCGAAGUUCCCAUCAGCCGAACAGCCCCUCUCCAACGUUGCCUCUGAUCUUCAAUCCACGAAGACCACCGAAUCAACCGUCCCCUGCAUCUUCCUCUUUCACGUGUCUCCACGCCCGCGUUUCAUUUCCCUGCAGCUGCUUCACGCGGCCUCGAAGUCCCGCUGCCGCAUCCAGUCAGCCCAGCAGCAACCAGAAGCCCCCAUCGUUGACCCUCUCCACUGAUUUUUUUUGCUUCCAACAUCAACAUCGAAGCGGCAUCUUGCUGCCAGGCGUCUUCCACCGUCAACCGAGCAGCCACGAAGUUGAUUCCCCCAAUUCAUCAGCCCACGCAUUUUCAGCGAUCCGGCCCGCAAGCCCAUUUGAAGCCCAACCUAGCAGAAUUUGGCCCAUCUUCACGCAAGCCAGCCCACGAAUUUUUCUUGCUCAGCCUAGUGGAUUUCAGCCCGUGUCUUCAGCCCAUACGAAUUCAGCUUGGCCCAUUUCCAGCACACAUCUCAGCCCAGUCUUGAAGCCCGCGAAGCAGCUCAAGCCCAAGCCAAGCCCAGCAAUUUGUUGUGGGCUUACAAGGCUUUUAGGCCCAAUCCGAGUGUUCGCCGACGCCACCAAAAGUUUGGGUUUCGGCCGUCGUCCCGUCGUCGUUGCGGUGAACCAGUUUCCGCAAUAAACCGGUGAGUUUAUGCACCAAACUCUUCUUAGUAGGCUAAUGAUGUUUAAGUGGUGUUUAGUUUAAUUUAAUUAGGAAUUAGGUGGUUAGUUAGAUUAAAUGAGUGAUUUAAUUAUACAUUUAUGCAUGUUAGGUGGUUAGAUUAGAUUAAGUGAUGACUAGAUAAAUUGUAUUAUUUAUCUAGAAGGGUUCGGUAAUUUUCCGGGCCCGUAUCGGUAUUUAAUUUAGUGAUUUUGGCCUAGGUUGGUAUUUUUAGAAUUUAAAUUGAAUUAUUUAAUUAAUUUUAUAAAUUAAUUAAUUAUUAAUUAUUUUUCCAAAAAUUAGGCCAGGAUGGCCGGUGACCGGAAUUUUGUGCUAAUUGUAAUGGUGUGGUUAAUUUCUACAAUUGAGUGUUAAAUUGUGCAAAUUGAGUGGUGAUUGGAAAUUUGAGUGUUUAAUUCUAGAAUUUAUGAAUUUUCAAUAUUUAUUCAGAAAAUCCCGAGUGUUGGAUUUUAACAUUGAAAAUGGUUUUAUAUACUAUAUAAAAUAAUGGGAUUUUAAAUUGGAAUAUAUCAAUUUUUCUAGUUCGAGUUGACCGUGUACUCACAUACGACUAUUUUACUAUGUAUUUCUAAUACGAAGAAAAAUGCUAGGUUUACCAUUUUAAUUGAGGCAUUUGAGUGCAAUGUACGGUGCCCUAGACCAUAAUUGAGUGAUCGUGUGUUGAUUAAGAGAACUCGUCUCGGGCUGUUAAGCUGGACGAUAACCCUUAUAUGGGACACUCCUAGACAAUGGGAAGUCGGUCGCAGUAGAUUCUGAACCCUAUGCUCCUUCAGAAAAGCCAUCUGAUGGAGACGUGCUGUGCUCAAUAGGGUGAGACGAUACCUGGCUCUGCCAGAAGACCGCAAAACUGAGAGUAGGCCGUGCUAUAUGCUGAGAUUAAACUAGGAACGCAUGAUAAAUUGAGUUGAAUGUGUCGGAUUAAGGGACAAAAUUAUGUGGCACAGUAUGGGACGUGUCAUAAUGAUUUGGCCUUAUAAUCAGGACCCAUGUACUUAUUUGAGAUUGAGUAUUGCGUUCCAAUUAAUUGAGCUUGAAUGUUGCUCUGGUUUGUGAUAUGAAUUGCACUAACCUGCAGGAUGGAUCUGAGACGAGGUAAGUCUCCUUGUUUGUUUGAUUGUGUGGUUAGGAUGAUUCUUGGCGUAUUUUCCUCAUAGUCGAGGUUUAGAGCGUGAACUUGCUGAGAUUUAUAUCUCACCCCGUCGUGGGCUUAAAUUUUUAGGGUCGUCAAGUGGAGGACCUAGAGCCGAGAGGAGGUGAUCAGAAGUGUAGGUCAGUUAGGACCGCUUCUUUUUGGAAAGCCAGUCUCUAUAGUAUUUUGGUCAUAGACCUUGUACAUGACUCAGUGUGUGUAUAAAUGUUGUUUUGUUUGUGAAUCUGUUGUCCUACUUUUCUAUCUCGAGAUGAUUACUGUCAGGGGAUUUAUUAUUUGCUUCCGCAUGUGCAUUAAAAUGAAAAGGGUCGACGACUCAUCCUAGGAAGUCACAAAUUUUAUCGACCAGAGAGGGAUGGGCAUGCACUCGGGGUUCGGGGCGUGACAUAUGGCCUAAAAAAGAAGAAGAAGAAGGUAGGCAAAAAUAAAGUAGUCUAUGCCACACAAGUCCAGCCUUGUUAAGGCGAUCACGAAGCAACAAAAUAUGAGGCUUAAGCAGGGCAAUAGAAACUUCGAAUAAAUCAAAUGGAGAUCAUGACAGACAUCCUGCCGCUACGCUUUUUGGUCCAGAGUUGGAACCAUUGUUGCUUGGGUGCUGUGAUAGUGAGCGCAUCUCCGCUCAUGGCGACAGUAGAGUUGCUAGCCCUAACAUUCUUAGGAAGGACCAUUUGGAUCUUAUUGUUU
rnacentral:lncRNA from 1 species